rnacentral:ncRNA from 1 species
CAUUAAGAGGCUAUCUCUGUCGUUACCCACUACAUGUGGAUACGGGAAUAUAGCUGUUAA